GAAGCAAUUUAAGGACCCUCUUUAGUAGACACGCCUCUCCUGCAUGAAUCCUGUUCUUGCAAACCCAUAGGAGAGAAGAGUACUUGGGGAUGUUCUCUGCCUGAAGUAUCUGUUUCUUUGCAAAGUUUCCUCAAUCGGCUCUUGGCUUACCUCUCAUCUCACUCUUUAUCUCUUCCCUCGACUUCGAGAAUUGAUUUAAAGGAUGCAGAGACAAGUUGCAGGGCAGAAGUAGAAGGAAAGUACUGAAAAGGGAGCAAAAAGUUUCGGUGGACAUAUACAUAAAAUGGAACUCACAGAGCUGUCGUUAGCUCCAGCACAGUUUGUUCUCGAAAAAAGUAGGAAUAGCUCAUCAUCAUCAGAAUCUGAAAACACCCCUUCCAGGAAGAGGAAGUUCUUCUCUGAUCAGUAUCAGCUGCUCAAAAAUGGACCACCAAUCCAAGCAAGUGUCGACCUUCAUGUUAAAGACCCGCUACCAUUGGAUUGGGAGCAAUGCCUUGAUCUUGAAUCAGGGAGAAUGUAUUAUCUGAACAGAAAAACAUUGAGAAAGAGUUCGAACUGGCCCAAGAACCAAAAGCUAGACCUUGAGCUCAAUAUGUCAUCAACAAUUCCAAACUGUCCUGAUGAAUGCAGCAGCUCCAAUACCUCACUUGAAGAUUCUAAUAACAAGAACCAUGCCUCAAGCAACAGCAACAUGGUAGCUUUGGCAUGUUUGAAUUGCCAUCUUCUUGUCAUAUUCUCCAAAUCCUCUCCUUCUUGCCCCAACUGCAAGUAUGUCCACUCUUUUCCAACCCUUCAAUCCCCACAGCGAAAAGUCUCUCCCACCAGGUCCUUGAGUACUUUAAGCCUCUUGAAUUAAUGGCCUCAACACGAGAUCGAUACAAAUUAUGUAGUACUAGUGGCAGAAGUCAUACAAUGACUCUGUGAUCGAUGAAGCUAUAUAUGUUUUCAGAUGUUGUACGUUUUCAUGAAAGAAAAGAAAAAUUAGGACAUUUUGCUACUUCGGCUCUUGCCAUGUCCAUCAGGCAUCAACAGCACAGUUGUUAACUAAUUAUGACGAAUUAAGAUCAUAUCUACAAAUUCUGGAUUUGGGGUCACCUUUCCAAGGAAAAAUCAAUAUUGAGAAUCUGACAGUUUCCAAGGAAAAAUCAGUAGAGCUGAUUCAGUUUUCAAAGCUCAUUUCUUGCUAGUUGUAGGGUGUUAUUGACAUUUAAAGGAAGCCAGGUUAAUCUCCUGAAGUGUCUCCUGCUGAAAAUAUCUAGGGAUUUGCGUGGCUUCUGGGCUCCGUGCAUGCUGCUAUUUAAUCCUGUGCUGCCAACUAGUAUUGGAUUUUAAUGGUUCUUGAUGUCACAUUUUAAUUACUUCACGGUUUGAUUUAUCGGAAGAGAAACAAAAAAAAUUCGAUGCUUAGAUAA